rnacentral:lncRNA from 1 species
GGAUUGCGUUUCUACGUGAUGGCGUAUUUCCCUUUCCUCUCCGCCGGGGCGUGUUUUGGUUGGACAGUCUUGUUGCGGGGAGGGAGGGGGGAAGAUUGUUUGCUCCCUAGACGCUCCCCGCACAGCAAGCUCCCCAGAGGCUUGUCUCUUAGCCUCUGCUCGGACUUAGCCUUCUCUCCAUCUGCCACCACAGCCUGGAGGUGCUUGCCUCCACCCUCCCGAAUGGUGCUCCUCUUCGCAGGCCUCGGCCCAGGAUCCAGGCCCCCUUUGCUCCUUGGUUUGGAGCUGUUGCUGCUGGGGUCUCUUGGUGGACUCCCAGUGGUGGGGUGCGAAGAACUUUUGCACACACGAGGCUUUAGUUACAGGGACCUAACCAACACUUUGAAUCUCAGCCUCUAACUGAGGGUGAGGCUCUUCCUGUGCCCCUUAUUUUCUCCCUUUGAGAAGAGGAAACCCUUCUGUUUGACAUCCAAAGCCCAGGAAGCCUCAAGCUGGGGCCCUGGUCCCAGCAUGUCAGCCCUCUCUUGUGCAUAGGGCUCUGCCCUCUUCCAGCCGGCAUGGCUGAUUUCAAAAAGUCUCCAGGGGGCCGAGAGACUCCACAGGGGGAACUGCGGCCAGAGGUGGUAGAGGAUGAAGUCCCUAGGAGCCCUGCCGCAGAGGAGCCUGGAGGAGGUGGAAGCAACAGCGGCGAGACCAAAUUGUCCCCUAGAGAGGAGGAAGAACUGGACCCUAGGAUACAGGUGAGAACACUGAGUGGAAGGAGUGGGAGGGAAGCCCAGAUUCCAGACUUGCUGAAGAGCUGACAGAGGAAUGAGGCCUUAGACUUACUCUCUCACAGUGGGCUGGGAUGGGGAAGGAAAACAAGUAUGUCCACAAAACAUUGAGGUUUGUCGUGUUAAGUGCCAAAAGAAGUGCUGACGGGAGAGCCGGAGUGCUUGGGGUAUGCUGGAUGAUGAUACACUUUAGGGCCUAGAACCAUCGCUUGUUCUGAAUAAGCAGAGGGACUGGUAGCCCAGAUAUCUUGCAUGUACUCGAGGUGACUGAGAUUGGGAGGCAGUUUUGAGACUAAGUAAGGGGAUCUUUCCACUUUUUCUGCCUUCUCAGCAAUGUCUCUCAGAAUCUAGUUGUGAGACCUUUCAGGUAUUAGAAAGGCACUGUAAACCUUGGACCUGUAAGAAAAUUCCUGUCUGUCUCUAUUUUCUUUCUUUCUUUCUUUCUUUCUUUCUUUCUUUCUUUCUUUCUUUCUUACAGGAUUAGCUGUGUAGCCUGUCUGGGAACUUGAUUUUUAGACCAGGGUCACCUAGAACUCAAGAGAUCUGCCUGCCUCUGCCUCCCAAGGGCUGAGAUUACAAGUGUUCACCAUCAUGCCCAGCAAGAAAUCUCUUAUAUUGCAAGGAUUUUGAUCAAUUGGGAUCAGUCAUUAAUACACAUUCCUAGUUCUUAGAAUUAUGGAUUUACCAAAAGAAUGGCAGAAUAAUUUAUUGUCAUGGAAUGUGCCAAGUUCUGCCAUUGUUUUGGUAAGACAGGGAGAUGGUUGUAUAAAAGACAACAGGGAAAUAGGUAUGAGGAAGACUGGUCAUUGUGAAGGAGAUGGAUGGCUAGGUUAUCUGUAGUGUUUCAGGAGGACUCUAUGGUGAAGUUUCUUGGGCAGAUAAUGGCCCGAAUGUGCCUGUGUGUUUGGGGCCCAAGAAUGCCACUUGGGUAGAUUGUAUCUCUGAGGUUCUGUUAUUUGGGGCCAUGAUUUAGCUCCUAGGUAGCCUGAGCAUCCUAGAGUUUGAAUUCUUGGGCAUCUCUGUCAACAAACCUUACUGGAUAAUGACAACAAAUUGCAAAGAAAGUCAAGCUGGUCCUCGGUGUGUGUGUGUGUGUGUGUGUGUGUGUGUGCAGUAAGGCUCCUCUUGGGCUGUAUGUGUGAUUGUAAUGGAGCAUUAGUGAGCUAUUUUCUGGCAUGAGUCAGUAUUUUAUUUCUGCUGUACUUCAUGGUGCUGAAUUGAAAACAACUCAGCUUCUCUUGCUCAUUCUAAAGAUUUGUUCUCACUGAAAAAAUACAUUAAAAAAAAGUCUUGGAAUAGACAUUCAAGCAACUUCAGCCUCGUGAUUUGUGAUUUUUGAGAAAGUUAACUUUUUUGAGCUUCAAUUUGUCUGUAAAGUGCGGGAUUUGAUUUGUCUGAUUUGCGCAGCUCCCAUUCACUGUGCACAGAAGUCUAGAAUUCUUUCCUUUUGCCAGUGCUUUUGCUUGUUUCUUUGGUAGACUUUAUAGAUUGUUAAGAAGGAGCUCUCUCUGUUCCUUGAGGAGAAGGGCAUAUAACACUUCAUAUACCUUCCUGAAAGACCCCUUGUUCUGCUCUGGAAAAGCCUUCUCUCCUGGCUUUCUCCAUCAGCCUCUUGUUCUGUGUACUUUCCCAGUAAUCAUGAAGGCAAAGACAGCAGAAUGAAGAGGCACACUCAUGUAAGCUGCACUGCCCAAAAUGUAACCACCAGAGUCUCUAUGUAAAUAUAAUCAGAUAAAAUAAAAACCACAGUUCUGUACUGUAGUGAUGGUGCUGAUGGGACAUUUCUGCCAUCACAGUUCUGUCAGGUGGGCUCUGGGAGUGUUGGAAUACCUGAGGAUGCAUAAGGUCUGCUUUGCCUCCAGUGAGCUUGCAGUGUGAAUAGUACUAGAAGGGCAAACGAGACCCUUGUUUCUCUUGCUAAGCUGUAUAGCACUUAGUGGAGGGUUGUAGGCUGCCCAGGGAGGGAAGGUCUUACACUCUGUCUCAUUUAAUGACACAGGCACAGACAGGUCAGUUCUUCAGCCUCACCAGGGAUUUAGAGUUUGCCGUAUGGAAAAAGCAGCUGAUGGUGGAGGCCACAACAUUUUGUAUUCUUCUGGGUGCUGAGGAGGUGAGGUUGUAUGCCAUUGAAGUUUGUUUUAGUGUUGAUAUGACAUGUCUUGAAAAUGUGCUUUAGCCCUUUCAGGGAGUGUCUAUUUAAUGUGUCUCCAUUAACAGAUCCAUCAAAAUCCACUAGGGAGUUUUAAAAAACAUUUUCAUUUACUCUGCUGAAUAGGAUAAGAUGUGAAAUUAAGGCACAGCCAGGGCCGAGUCCACUAGGCAAAGGGUAGCUCAGAAGCAGGGCUCUGACCUAUUUUGGAAUGUUUUGAAUUUCUCGGAAAUGCUUAUCCUCAGGGUGAGGCUUCCUAAUGUAGGGCUGGGUUUCUGUGGCUGACAGGCAGGUAGUUCAUGUGUGUCGUCUGGUGGGAUGUCUCUGGAAGUAGACUAGCCCGUACCUGCCUCUAGUAUGUGUUUGCCCUUUCAGAAAAGGCUGUGUCUCCAUCAAGGUUUCAUUGGAUCAUUGGAGUUCCUCAAGUCCUCCAGCUUUUGGAAAGAGGGUCUUAGUGGAUGGAAGUAGGGUUUGCUGGUCAAAGGAGUUAGCAGUGCUAGGAUAGGCCUGGCCCCCUCUCCAGUUUUCUCUGUCUCCUUGUUUUUUUUUGUUUUGUUUUUUGUUGUUGUUUGUGUUUUGUUUUGGUGAAAUAGUGUUUGAUGUAGUCCAGGAUGGUCUUGAAUUCACUAUAUAGCUCAUGCUGACUUUGAACUCCUGAUCCUUUUGUCUCUGCAUCCCAAGUGCUGGAAUUAUAGGUAUGUGCCGCCAUGUUUGGUUCUCCUUCCUUUUUGAUGGAUACAUUUUUUUUUUUUUUUAAAGCUAUGUUGGACACACUCGCUUUACUCCCCAUUCUUCAGGGUGACUUUGCAAUCUUAGUGUUCUCAUCUUCAGGUGUUGGUUUAACUCUCGAAGUACAGUCAGCAUCAUCCCGGCCCUAUUACUCAUCAUCUGCUUGGGCCUUUGGUGGUUUGUGGAAGAGGACCAUGAGCAUCCAAGGGUGGAGCAGAAACAUUUGUAGUCAAGCACCCAUGCUUUGACUCAGUGGCUUGGCAUUCUGGAAAUGCACUCAGAGUGCCCCAAGAAGGUCAUCCUCCUGCUAGCUGCUGGCUUUCUGAUGGAUGAUGCAUGCUGACUCAGACCCUGUCCUCCCCGAAUUCCAUUUUCGCUGAGUGCCAGGAGUUCCUGGUGGAACAGGCCAAAUGGAAUGUGUUGCUGACUGCCCACAAACAGCAAUUUGGGUGCUCAGUGCUUUGCCCACUGUGCUUUGCCCUGAUGCUUCAGCUUGGCUGUUCCUCCCUGCUUGCCAUAUCCAUCCAUCUGUGGGGGGGCUUCUCUUUGUUCUGUUUGAGCUUUGUGAGCACUAGUUAGACUUAUCAGUAGGCCCUUUCUCUUUCUUUCUUUCUUUCCUUCCUUCCUUCCUUCCUUCUUUCCUUCCUUUCUUCCUUCUCUCUGUCUGUCUCUCCCUCCCUCCCUCCCUCCCUCCUUCCCUCCCUCCC